CCUAAGGCGAGGCUGAAAAGCGUAGUCGAUGGAAAACAGGUUAAUAUUCCUGUACUUCUAGUUAUUGCGAUGGAGGGACGGAGAAGGCUAGGCCAGCUUGGCGUUGGUUGUCCAAGUUUAAGGUGGUAGGCUGGAAUCUUAGGUAAAUCCGGGGUUCUAAGGCCGAGAGCUGAUGACGAGUUACCUUUUAGGUGACGAAGUGGUUGAUGCCAUGCUUCCAAGAAAAGCUUCUAAGCUUCAGAUAACUAGGAACCGUACCCCAAACCGACACAGGUGGUUGGGUAGAGAAUACCAAGGCGCUUGAGAGAACUCGGGUGAAGGAACUAGGCAAAAUGGCACCGUAACUUCGGGAGAAGGUGCGCCGGUGAGGGUGAAGGACUUGCUCCGUAAGCUCAUGCCGGUCGAAGAUACCAGGCCGCUGCGACUGUUUAUUAAAAACACAGCACUCUGCAAACACGAAAGUGGACGUAUAGGGUGUGACGCCUGCCCGGUGCCGGAAGGUUAAUUGAUGGGGUUAGCUAACGCGAAGCUCUUGAUCGAAGCCCCGGUAAACGGCGGCCGUAACUAUAACGGUCCUAAGGUAGCGAAAUUCCUUGUCGGGUAAGUUCCGACCUGCACGAAUGGCGUAACGAUGGCGGCGCUGUCUCCACCCGAGACUCAGUGAAAUUGAAAUCGCUGUGAAGAUGCAGUGUAUCCGCGGCUAGACGGAAAGACCCCGUGAACCUUUACUAUAGCUUUGCACUGGACUUUGAAUUUGCUUGUGUAGGAUAGGUGGGAGGCUUUGAAGCGUGAACGCCAGUUUGCGUGGAGCCAUCCUUGAAAUACCACCCUGGCAACUUUGAGGUUCUAACUCAGGUCCGUUAUCCGGAUCGAGGACAGUGUAUGGUGGGUAGUUUGACUGGGGCGGUCUCCUCCUAAAGAGUAACGGAGGAGUACGAAGGUGCGCUCAGACCGGUCGGAAAUCGGUCGUAGAGUAUAAAGGCAAAAGCGCGCUUGACUGCGAGACAGACACGUCGAGCAGGUACGAAAGUAGGUCUUAGUGAUCCGGUGGUUCUGUAUGGAAGGGCCAUCGCUCAACGGAUAAAAGGUACUCCGGGGAUAACAGGCUGAUACCGCCCAAGAGUUCAUAUCGACGGCGGUGUUUGGCACCUCGAUGUCGGCUCAUCACAUCCUGGGGCUGAAGCCGGUCCCAAGGGUAUGGCUGUUCGCCAUUUAAAGUGGUACGCGAGCUGGGUUUAGAACGUCGUGAGACAGUUCGGUCCCUAUCUGCCGUGGACGUUUGAGAUUUGAGAGGGGCUGCUCCUAGUACGAGAGGACCGGAGUGGACGAACCUCUGGUGUUCCGGUUGUCACGCCAGUGGCAUUGCCGGGUAGCUAUGUUCGGAAAAGAUAACCGCUGAAAGCAUCUAAGCGGGAAACUUGCCUCAAGAUGAGAUCUCACUGGAACCUUGAGUUCCCUAAAGGGCCGUCGAAGACUACGACGUUGAUAGGUUGGGUGUGUAAGCGCUGUGAGGCGUUGAGCUAACCAAUACUAAUUGCCCGUGAGGCUUGACCAU
rnacentral:rRNA from 4 species